rnacentral:rRNA from 1 species
CCCUUAGAUGUUCUGGGCCGCACGCGCGCUACACUGAUGCAUUCAACGAGUCUAAAACCUGGUCUGAUAGGGCUGGGUAAUCUUUUGAAUGUGCAUCGUGAUUGGGAUAGAUGAUUGCAAUUCUUCAUCUUCAACGAGGAAUGCCUAGUAAACGCAAGUCAUCAGCUUGCAUUGAUUACGUCCCUGCCCUUUGUACACACCGCCCGUCGCUCCUACCGAUUGAAUGUUCCGAUGAAUACCAUGGACUGAGAGUAUGAAUGGGUUCGCCUAUUUCUGCUUCUCGGGAAGUGGAGUAAAUCUUAACAUUUAGAGGAAGUAAAAGUCGUAACA